UCGCCUUCUUCGAAAUAUAGAAACCGAUAUUUGCUAGCAUCUCAUACUUAUCAAGUUGUUCAUAUAAUUUGCAUAUUAUCAAACAAUAAUUCACAAAGCAUAAUAUUUCAUGGUAAUAAAUAUCAUAUCAUAUAAAUAACAUUAAAUCACUUAAAAUAAAAAUUAUGUUACUUUAUUUACACAUGAACUUACCUCGAUACAAAAUUUUAGCAACCGAG
rnacentral:lncRNA from 1 species